UACGUAGGGAGCAAGCGUUGUCCGGAUUUAUUGGGCGUAAAGAGCUCGUAGGCGGUUUAGAAAGUCAGGUGUGAAAACUCUGGGCUCAACCCAGAGACGCCACUUGAUACUUCUAUGACUUGAGUUCGGUAGGGGACCAUGGAAUUCCUGGUGUAGCGGUGAAAUGCGCAGAUAUCGGGAGGAACACCGGUGGCGAAGGCGGUUCUCUGGGCCUUACCUGACGCUGAGGAGCGAAAGCGUGGGGAGCGAACAGG
rnacentral:rRNA from 1 species